UCCAUCCAGCUGGAUCUCUGUCACAGGUGAGGAGGUUACCUUUGAUUUCAGGACUUAUUUCAUCCAGAGAUUCACCUGACCAGGUGGGAUUCUCUCUACAGGUAAACCUACAACCUCAGCUCUGCCCACCCCGCCUCCUCCAUCGCCUCCUCCAUCGCCACCUGCCUCAGCCCCCCUCCAACUUGUGUUCAGACUGAUCUACCACCUGGUGGUCUUCUGUCCAUACUGCAUCUCCACUGUCCUCAUGGUGUCUUUAUAUCGACACAGGGCCACAGGAAAUGACCUGCCCGCCUCUAUGGUGAUGACCCCGCCCCCCCAGGCUGAUGAGGGAUUGAAUAAUGACUAUGAUGACAUCAUCACUGCUGUCACCACAGAGCAUCACUUCUGAGCUGAUCCAGUGUGUUGUGGUUCUUAAAUGAAGAUAAAAUGUUUGUGUCAUCAGCAAAUAAACCUCAGAUUUCAUGAUACAGACCCCUGGACAAAUGAACAAAGCUGUCGACAUGUUUUUGGUCCAAAUAAAAGCUCAGGUUCAGGUUCUGGUUUGAGUUUUGUUGUUACUCUUGCUUGUUUGGUUUAGAUGUUUUAAAACAGGGUUUUUAUUUACUUUAAAAGUUUUCAAUAAACUUCACAA